UACGAAGGGGGCUAGCGUUGCUCGGAAUCACUGGGCGUAAAGGGUGCGUAGGCGGGUCUUUAAGUCAGGGGUGAAAUCCUGGAGCUCAACUCCAGAACUGCCUUUGAUACUGAGGAUCUUGAGUCCGAGAGAGGUGAGUGGAACUGCGAGUGUAGAGGUGAAAUUCGUAGAUAUUCGCAAGAACACCAGUGGCGAAGGCGGCUCACUGGCCCGGUACUGACGCUGAGGCACGAAAGCGUGGGGAGCAAACAGG
rnacentral:rRNA from 1 species